rnacentral:rRNA from 1 species
AUGAAGAAUCUUCUUGCCCUCUCCCUGAAGUCAAAGCAAGCCCCAGUGGGCACCUUCACCAACGCUGGGUUCGGAAGUCUAACAAGCUUCAGCUUUGUGACCAGUGCUGUAGGGAAGAUAUUUGAACCAGGGGCUAUGGAAAAAGUUGAAAGGCUUCAUCUUUCGUUUCAAGCAUCACGUGCCGAAAAUGGUUUCGAUUUUGGAUUGCAGUACCUGUCUUCCCUGAAAUACGCACGUGUUGAAAUACUAUGUUUCAAUGCCAAUCUUGAGAUGGUGGAGAAAGCAAGGAAAGCUAUUGAGAAAGCAAUAGACGAUGGUCGCAGGCCAGGGUCAAAAGACCCAAAACUUGAUUUUGUGUUACUCGAUAAGAUAGAAACUGAAACUCAAGCAGAGCAAGACACUAACCAGCAAAAUCAGCAUAGUUCUCCAAGCACAUCGACCUCAGCAAGCAAGAAAAAAGUUCCAAGCAGACCCGCACAGUUUUGUGACCGGUGUGGUGCCGAAUUUUCAAGCGCCGAAUACCAGUUCUGCCCAGGAUGUGGCACCAGGAGGCUUACUGUGCAGAAGAAAUGA